GGAGUCUGGUCCGUGUCUCAGUACCAGUGUGGGGGACCUUCCUCUCAGAACCCCUACUGAUCGUAGGCCAGGUGGGCCGUUACCCCGCCUGCAACCUAAUCAGACGCAUCCCCAUCCCAUAGCGGUGAACCUUUAUUCCUCGUUAGAUGCCUGCAAAGGAAAACAUAGGGUAUUAAUCCGCAUUUCUACGGGCUAUGCCCUACUAUGGGGAAGGUUGGAUACGCGUUACUCACCCGUGCGCCGGUCGCCAUCACAGAUAGCAAGCUACCUGCAUGCUGCCCCUCGACUUGCAUGUGUUAAGCCUGUAGCUAGCGUUCAUC
rnacentral:rRNA from 1 species